rnacentral:tRNA from 1 species
GCCUGAGUGGCUCAGUCGGUUGAGCGUCCGACUUCAGCUCAGGUCACGAUCUCGCGGUCCGCGAGUUCGAGCCCCGUGUCGGGCU